rnacentral:rRNA from 1 species
CGCCCUCCCGAAGGUUAAGCUAAUGACUUCUGGUGCAGCCCACUCCCAUGGUGUGACGGGCGGUGUGUACAAGGCCCGGGAACGUAUUCACCGUGACAUUCUGAUUCACGAUUACUAGCGAUUCCGACUUCAUGGGGUCGAGUUGCAGACCCCAAUCCGGACUACGACGCACUUUAUGGGAUUCGCUUACCAUCGCUGGUUUGCAGCCCUUUGUAUGCGCCAUUGUAGCACGUGUGUAGCCCUACUCGUAAGGGCCAUGAUGACUUGAUAUCGUCCCCACCUUCCUCCGGUUUAUCACCGGCAGUCUCCUUAGAGUUCCCACCAUUACGUGCUGGCAAAUAAGGAUAAGGGUUGCGCUCGUUGCGGGACUUAACCCAACAUUUCACAACACGAGCUGACGACAGCCAUGCAGCACCUGUCUCAUAGUUCCCGAAGGCACCAAUUCAUCUCUGAAAAGUUCUAUGGAUGUCAAGAGUAGGUAAGGUUCUUCGCGUUGCAUCGAAUUAAACCACAUGCUCCACCGCUUGUGCGGGCCCCCGUCAAUUCAUUUGAGUUUUAACCUUGCGGCCGUACUCCCCAGGCGGUCUACUUAAUGCGUUAGCUUAAGAGCCCAGUUCUCAAGGAACCAAACUCCGAGUAGACAUCGUUUACGGCGUGGACUACCGGGGUAUCUAAUCCCGUUUGCUACCCACGCUUUCGCAUCUGAGCGUCAGUUACUUGCCAGGUGGCCGCCUUCGCCACUGGUAUUCCUUCAGAUCUCUACGCAUUUCACCGCUACACCUGAAAUUCUACCACCCUCUCAAGAACUCUAGUUUGCCAGUUCGAAAUGCAGUUCCCAGGUUGAGCCCGGGGCUUUCACAUCUCGCUUAACAAACCGCCUGCAUGCGCUUUACGCCCAGUAAUUCCGAUUAACGCUUGCACCCUCCGUAUUACCGCGGCUGCUGGCACGGAGUUAGCCGGUGCUUCUUCUGCGAGUAACGUCACAGUGAUAAAGUAUUAAUUUACCACCUUUCCUCUUCGCUGAAAGUACUUUACAACCCGAAGGCCUUCUUCAUACACGCGGUAUGGCUGCAUCAGGCUUUCGCCCAUUGUGCAAUAUUCCCCACUGCUGCCUCCCGUAGGAGUCUGGACCGUGUCUCUGCUCCAGUGUGG